rnacentral:rRNA from 1 species
GUGACAGCAGCCGCGGUAAUACGGAGGGGGUUAGCGUUGUUCGGAAUUACUGGGCGUAAAGCGCGCGUAGGCGGAUCAGAAAGUUGGGGGUGAAAUCCCAGGGCUCAACCCUGGAAUUGCCUUCAAAACUCCUGGUCUUGAGUUCGAGAGAGGUGAGUGGAAUUCCGAGUGUAGAGGUGAAAUUCGUAGAUAUUCGGAGGAACACCAGUGGCGAAGGCGGCUCACUGGCUCGAUACUGACGCUGAGGUGCGAAAGCGUGGGGAGCAAACAGGAUUAGAUACCCGAGUAGUCC